rnacentral:rRNA from 1 species
AGUGAACGCUGGCGGUAGGCCUAACACAUGCAAGUCGAACGGCAGCACAGUAAGAGCUUGCUCUUACGGGUGGCGAGUGGCGGACGGGUGGGGAAUACAUCGGAAUCUACUUUUUCGUGGGGGAUAACGUAGGGAAACUUACGCUAAUACCGCAUACGACCUACGGGUGAAAGCAGGGGAUCUUCGGACCUUGCGCGAUUGAAUGAGCCGAUGUCGGAUUAGCUAGUUGGCGGGGUAAAGGCCCACCAAGGCGACGAUCCGUAGCUGGUCUGAGAGGAUGAUCAGCCACACUGGAACUGAGACACGGUCCAGACUCCUACGGGAGGCAGCAGUGGGGAAUAUUGGACAAUGGGCGCAAGCCUGAUCCAGCCAUACCGCGUGGGUGAAGAAGGCCUUCGGGUUGUAAAGCCCUUUUGUUGGGAAUGAAAAGCAGCAGGUUAAUACCCCGCUGUUCUGACGGUACCCAAAGAAUAAGCACCGGCUAACUUCGUG